UACGUAGGGGGCAAGCGUUGUUCGGAAUUAUUGGGCGUAAAGCGCGCGCAGGCGGUGCGUUAAGUCGGAUGUGAAAGGCUACGGCUCAACCGUAGAGCUGCAUCCGAAACUGGCGGACUUGAGUGCAGGAGAGGGGAGUGGAAUUCCCGGUGUAGCGGUGGAAUGCGUAGAGAUCGGGAGGACCACCAGUGGCGAAGGCGACUCUCUGGCCUGUAACUGACGCUGAGGCGCGAAAGCGUGGGGAGCAAACAGG
rnacentral:rRNA from 1 species